GACGAACGCUGGCGGCGUGCUUAACACAUGCAAGUCGAACGGAGUGGCGAACGGGUGAGUAACACGUGGGUGACCUGCCCUGCACUUCGGGAUAAGCCUGGGAAACUGGGUCUAAUACCGGAUAGUGUGGGAUGGGCCCGCGGCCUAUCAGCUUGUUGGUGGGGUAAUGGCCGAUCAAGGCGGCGACGGGUAGCCGGCCUGAGAGGGUGGACGGAAACAUGGGGACUGAGACACGGCCGAGACUCCGACGGGAGGCAGCAGGGGGGAAUAGUGCACAAUGGGAGGAAGCCGGAUGCAGCGACGCCGCGUGGGGGAUGACGGCCUGCGGGUUGUAAACGCCUGUCACCAUCGACGCGGUAGAUGGAGAAGAAGCACCGGCUAACUACGUGCCAGCCGCCGCGGUAAUUC
rnacentral:rRNA from 1 species